AGGGAUGGAGCUUAGUGGUAGAGUGUUUGCUUAGUAUGCAGGAGGCCCUGGGUUCAAUUCCUAGCACUUA
rnacentral:tRNA from 1 species